UACGUAGGGUCCGAGCGUUGUCCGGAAUUAUUGGGCGUAAAGGGCUCGUAGGCGGUGUGUCGCGUCGGCCGUGAAAACCUGCAGCUUAACUGUGGGCUUGCGGUCGAUACGGGCAUCACUGGAGUUCGGCAGGGGAGACUGGAAUUCCUGGUGUAGCGGUGAAAUGCGCAGAUAUCAGGAGGAACACCAGUGGCGAAGGCGGGUCUCUGGGCCUAUACUGACGCUGAGGAGCGAAAGCGUGGGGAGCGAACAGG
rnacentral:rRNA from 1 species